rnacentral:rRNA from 1 species
AAAUGAAUAGACGGGGACCCGCACAAGCAGUGGAGUAUGUGGUUUAAUUCGAAGCUACGCGAAGAACCUUACCAGGGUUUGACAUCCUACUAACGAAGCAGAAAUGCAUAAGGUGCCCUUCGGGGAAAGUAGAGACAGGUGGUGCAUGGUUGUCGUCAGCUCGUGUCGUGAGAUGUUGGGUUAAGUCCCGCAACGAGCGCAACCCUUAUCGUUAGUUGCCAGCACUUAAGGUGGGCACUCUAGCGAGACUGCCGAUGAUAAAUCGGAGGAAGGUGGGGAUGACGUCAAAUCAUCAUGCCCCUUAUAUCCUGGGCUACACACGUACUACAAUGGCCGUUAACAGAGGGCAGCAAUCCCGCAAGGAGGAGCAAAUCCCUAAACGCGGCCCCAGUUCAGAUUGCAGGCUGCAACUCGCCUGCAUGAAGUAGGAAUUGCUAGUAAUCGCAAAUCAGAAUGUUGCGGUGAAUACGUUCCCGGGUCUUGUACACACCGCCCGU